AAAUUCUGGCGGACGAUGGCAGCCACCCGCGCACGAGUGCCUCUUUUUCCCGCGUUGGUCGCCUCCCAGCCCGUGAACCUGUUUCGUUUCCUUCUUAUCUCACCCCUCACUCGAGACCCUAGCAUCACAACUCCCUCUCACGAUAGAAGAAGCGGCGGCGGCGACGCGAUUCAGCUUGGAUUCCGGUGCAGCGGAGCGGCUUGGACAGGAGACAGUCUUUUGCAUCUUGUUUGGAACUUCUCUGCCCUUCUGAAGAUUUCUUGCUUGGAGAGGAACGUUGCGACGACAACCCCGGAGACUAAGCAACGGUUAUAGCAGCCUCGCGAAGAUAGGAGUUAACCUGGUCAGCUGUUCCUGUGGGAAAUGGAGUCUCGUAAACGAUGAUGAUCCACAAACCGCUUCCGCCAUC